rnacentral:rRNA from 1 species
AGUGAACGCUGGCGGUAGGCCUAACACAUGCAAGUCGAACGGCAGCACAGUAAGAUCUUGCUCUUACGGGUGGCGGGUGGCGGACGGGUGAGGCAUACAUCGGAAUCUACUUUUUCUGGGGGGAUAACGUAGGGCAACUUACGCUACUACCGCAUACGACCUACGGGUGAAAGCAGGGGAUCUUCGGGCCUUUCGCGAUUGAAUGAGCCGAUGUCGCAUUAGCUAGUUGGCGAGGUAAAGGCCCACCAAGGCGACGAUGCGUAGCUGAUCUGAGAGGAUGAUCAGCCACACUGGAACUGAGACACGGUCCAGACUCCUACGGGAGGCAGCAGUAGGGAAUAUUGGACAAUGGGCGCAAGCCUGAUCCAGCCACACCGCGUGGGUGAAGAAGGUCUUCGGGUCGUAAAGCCCUGUUGUUGGGAAAGAAAAGCAGCAGGUUAAUACGCCGAUGUUCUGACGGUACCCAAAGAAUAAGCAACGGCUAACUUCGUG